rnacentral:rRNA from 1 species
CCUACGGGUGGCAGCAGUGGGGAAUAUUGGGCAAUGGGCGAAAGCCUGACCCAGCAACGCCGCGUGAAGGAAGAAGGCUGUCGGGUUGUAAACUUCUUUUGACAGGGAAGAGCAGAAGACGGUACCUGGCGAAUAAGCCACGGCUAACUACGGGCCAGCAGCCGCGGGAAUACGUAGGGGGCAAGGGUUGUCCGGAUUUAAGGGGUGUAAAGGGCGGGUAGCCGGGCUGGCAAGUCAGUUGUGAAAUCCGGGGGCUCAACCCCCGAACUGAAUUUGAAACUGUUGGUCUUGAGUAUCGGAGAGGCAGGCGGAAUUCCUGGUGUAGCGGUGAAAUGCGUAGAUAUUAGGAGGAACACCAGUGGCGAAGGCGGCCUGCUGGACUACAACUGACGGUGAGGCGCGAAAGCGUGGGGAGCAAACAGGAUUAGAUACCCGUGUAGUC